UACGUAGGUGACCAGCGUUGUCCGGAUUUACUGGGCGUAAAGAGCGCGCAGGCGGUCGUUCAAGUCGAGUGUGAAAGCCCCCGGCUCAACUGGGGAGGGUCAUUCGAUACUGAUCGACUCGAAGGCAGGAGAGGGAAGCGGAAUUCCCGGUGUAGUGGUGAAAUUCGUAGAUAUCAAGCGGAACACCGGUGGCGAAGGCGGCCUUCUGGACGAUGACUGACGCUGAGACGCGAAAGCGUGGGGAGCAAACAGG
rnacentral:rRNA from 1 species